rnacentral:rRNA from 1 species
GACGAACGCUGGCGGCGUGCUUAACACAUGCAAGUCGAACGGUAAGGCCCUUCGGGGUACACGAGUGGCGAACGGGUGAGUAACACGUGGGUGAUCUGCCCUGCACUUCGGGAUAAGCCUGGGAAACUGGGUCUAAUACCGGAUAGGACCACUGCCUGCAUGGGUGGUGGUGGAAAGUUUUUGCGGUGUGGGAUGGGCCCGCGGCCUAUCAGCUUGUUUGUGGGGUGAUGGCCUACCAAGGCGAGGACGGGUAGCCGGCCUGGGAGGGUGACCGGCCACACUGGGACUGAGAUACGGUCCAGACUCCUACGGGGGGCAGCAGUGGGGAAUAUUGCACAAUGGGCGCAAGCCUGAUGCAGCGACGCCGCGUGAGGGAUGACGGCCUUCGGGUUGUAAACCUCUUUCAGCACCGACGAAGCGCAAGUGACGGUAGGUGCAGAAGAAGGACCGGCCAACUACGUGCCAGCAGCCGCAGUAA